rnacentral:piRNA from 1 species
UCAUUCUCAGGGGGCUUGCGUGUGGUU